UACGUAGGGUGCAAGCGUUGUCCGGAAUCAUUGGGCGUAAAGCGCGCGUAGGUGGCUUCGUAAGUCCGUUGUGAAAGUCAAAGGCUCAACCUUUGAAUGCCGAUGGAUACUGCGAAGCUAGAGUACGGAAGAGGCGAGUGGAAUUCCUGGUGUAGCGGUGGAAUGCGCAGAUAUCAGGAGGAACACCAAUAGCGAAGGCAGUUCGCUGGGACGUUACUGACACUAAGGCGCGAAAGCGUGGGGAGCGAACAGG
rnacentral:rRNA from 1 species